rnacentral:rRNA from 1 species
GCCUAAAAUCAAGCCUAUAAACUCAACUUAUGAAUUAUAUACUUUAUCAACUUAAUAAUAAAACAUUUUAACAUUUUAGUAAAGGCGAUCAAAAAACUUAUAAGCGCUUCAUUUAUUGUACCGCAAGGAACGAUGAAAUAGAUUUGAAAUAGCCUUAAAGCAUUAAAUAGUAGAGAUAAGACCUCGUACCUUUUGCAUCAUGGUUUAGCUAGUCCCCACAAGCAAAGCGAAACAUUAGUUUGAUANNNNNNNNNNNNNNNNNNNNNNNNNNNNNNNNNNNNNNNNNNNNNNNNNNNNNNGUUGCAAAAGAGUGGGAUGAUUUUCAAGUAGCGGUGAAAAGCCUACCGAGCUUAGAGAUAGCUGGUUAUUCAGGAAAAGAAUUUUAGUUCUACCUUAAGUUUCUAUAUUAUUUUAACCUAUUAAACUUAAGAGCUAUUCAAAUAAGGCACAGCUUAUUUGAAACAGGAAACAACCUUAAUAAAGGUAAAAUAUACCUCUCUUAAUCAAGUUGGCCUAAGAGCAGCCACCUUUAAAAAAAGCGUUAAAGCUUUAUUUAUUUAUUCUCACACUAAUACCUAAACAUAUUUAAACCCUCCAUCUGUACUGAAUUAUUCCAUAAAUUAUGGAAGCCACUAUGCUAAAACUAGUAACAAGAAAUUGACUUUCUCCAAAAUAUAUGUAUAAACCAAAAUGGACUCCCCAUUGGUAAUUACCGUAAAUGAAUCUAAUUUAACAACUUAACAAGAAAACCUUAAAUAUUUCUCAACGUUAACCUAACACAAGAGUAUUGAUGGAAAGAUUAAAAGAGGAAGAAGGAACUCGGCAAAUCUUAACCCCGCCUGUUUACCAAAAACAUCGCCUCUUGAUAAACAUAAGAGGUCUAGCCUGCCCAGUGAUAUAAUUAAACGGCCGCGGUACCCUGACCGUGCGAAGGUAGCAUAAUCACUUGUUCUUUAAAUAGGGACUAGUAUCAACGGCAUCACGAGGGUUAUACUGUCUCCUUCCUCGAAUCAGUGAAACUAAUCUCCCCGUGAAGAAGCGGGGAUAAAAAUAUAAGACGAGAAGACCCCAUGGAGCUUUAAACCCAACAACAACCUCUACUCACAACCCCUUGACAAUUAGAAGGCCCUGUCUGUUGGUUUUAGGUUGGGGUGACCGCGGAGUAUAAUUUAACCUCCACGACGAACGGGAUUAACCCCUAAUCCAAGAGCCACUGCUCUAAGAAUCAAUAAAUUGACGUAAAAUGAUCCGAUAAUCGAUCAACGAACCAAGUUACCCUGGGGAUAACAGCGCAAUCCAUUUCAAGAGCCCCUAUCGACAAAUGGGUUUACGACCUCGAUGUUGGAUCAGGGUAUCCCAGUGGUGCAGCCGCUACUAAAGGUUUGUUUGUUCAACAAUUAAAACCCUA